rnacentral:rRNA from 1 species
GGCUCAGAACGAACGCUGGCGGCGCGUUUAAGCAUGCAAGUCGAGCGGCAAGGGCCUUCGGGCCCCUAGAGCGGCGGACGGGUGAGUAACACGUGGACAAUCUGCCCCCCGGCCCGGGAUAGCCCAGGGAAACCUGGAUUAAUACCGGAUGAGACGGGACCCGCGAUGGCGGGACCCGGGAAAGGCGCUGCGGCGCCGCCGGGGGAUGAGUCUGCGUCCCAUUAGCUAGACGACGGGGUAACGGCCCACCGUGGCGACGAUGGGUAGCCGGCCUGAGAGGGUGGACGGCCACAUUGGAACUGAGACACGGUCCAGACUCCUACGGGAGGCAGCAGCUAAGAAUCUUCCGCAAUGGGCGAAAGCCUGACGGAGCGACGCCCGCGUGAACGAAGAAGGCCGUGAGGUUGUAAAGUUCUUUUCGGGAGGGGGAACAACCGUGGCAGGGAAUGGCCGCGGGAUGACGUGAAUCCCGGAAUAAGCCCCGGCUAACUACGUGCCAGCAGCGGC